rnacentral:piRNA from 1 species
CAAACAGCACUCAGACCGUUGGAGAAC